rnacentral:lncRNA from 1 species
GUCUUUAGUUCCUGGGCUUAAACAAUUUUGUAGCUUCAGUCUCCCAAAUAUAUGGGAGUACAGGUGAGUGACAGCGGGAGAACUCUGGAUGGAAAUCAGCAGGACAAAAUGGAAACUUUGUAUGAUCCAGGUUCCAGGGAACAGAAGCAAAUUAUGACAAUGGCACAGGAAGAGAAGCAAAUUAUUCUGGAAUCUGC